rnacentral:rRNA from 1 species
AUAAUCAUUAGUCUUUUAAUUAAGGAAUAGAAUGAAUGGUUAAACGUAGCUUUAUUUUAUUAUUUUUAAUAUUUGAAUUUAAAUUUUUAGUGAAAAUGCUAAAUUUUCUUUUUAGACGAUAAGACCCUUUAGAGUUUUAUUUAAAAUAAAUUAAAUAGAAAUUUAAUAACUAAAUUAAAUUUUAUUGGGGCAAUAAAAGAAUAAAAUAAACUUCUUUUAAUUUAUUAAAAAUUAAUUAAAUUUAUUAACUUAAUUUAUAAUUUUAUAAAAAAUUACCUAAGGGAUAACAGCGUAAUUAAAAUUGAGAGUUCUUAUCGACAUUUUAGUUUGCGACCUCGAUGUUGAAUUAAAAAUUUCUAGGAGGGGUAGAAUUUUCUUAAGAUAGUCUGUUCGACUAUUAAAUUUUUACAUGAUUUGAGUUCAAAUCGGCGUAA